GCAAUGGACGAAAGUCUGACCGAGCAACGCCGCGUGAGUGAAGAAGGUUUUCGGAUCGUAAAGCUCUGUUGUAAGUCAAGAACGUGUGUGAGAGUGGAAAGUUCACACAGUGACGGUAGCUCACCAGAAAGGGACGGCUAACCACGUGCCAGCAGCCGCGGUAAUACGUAGGUCCCGAGCGUUGUCCGGAUUUAUUGGGCGUAAAGGGAGCGCAGGCGGUCAGGAAAGUCUGGAGUAAAAGGCUAUGGCUCAACCAUAGUGUGCUCUGGAAACUGUCUGACUUGAGUGCAGAAGGGGAGAGUGGAAUUCCAUGUGUAGCGGUGAAAUGCGUAGAUAUAUGGAGGAACACCAGUGGCGAAAGCGGCUCUCUGGUCUGUCACUGACGCUGAGGCUCGAAAGCGUGGGUAGCGAACAGGAUUAGAUACCCUGGUAGUCCACGCCGUAAACGAUGAGUGCUAGGUGUUAGGCCCUUUCCGGGGCUUAGUGCCGGAGCUAACGCAAUAAGCACUCCGCCUGGGGAGUACGAACGCAAGGUUGAAACUCAAAGGAAUUGACGGGGGCCCGCACAAGCGGUGGAGCAUGUGGUUUAAUUCGAAGCAACGCGAAGAACCUUACCGGGUCU
rnacentral:rRNA from 1 species